AAAGAGAUCGAAGAAGAAGAGCGUUUGGGAGAAAGAAGAAGAAAGAAAGAUAA
rnacentral:sRNA from 1 species